rnacentral:rRNA from 1 species
UACGGAGGGUGAAAUCUUUACUCGGAAUUACUGGGCGUAAAGCGCGCGUAGGUGGUUUGUUAAGUUGGAUGUGAAAGCCCCGGGCUCAACCUGGGAACUGCAUCCAAAACUGGCAAGCUAGAGUAUGGCAGAGGGUGGUGGAAUUUCCUGUGUAGCGGUGAAAUGCGUAGAUAUAGGAAGGAACACCAGUGGCGAAGGCGACCACCUGGGCUAAUACUGACACUGAGGGGCGAAAGCGUGGGGAGCAAACAGGAUUAGAUACCACGGUAGUCC